rnacentral:lncRNA from 1 species
GGGGCCAAACCGGAUCUGUGCGACUGCUUUUCUCUUGCCAGUACACAGGGUAAACAAUAAUAUGCCUCUGUGAAUUCUUGCUUGGGCCAUGCAAAGGAGGCCCGCACUCACAAGGGGCGGGGCGACUGGGCGUGAGGAGAGAA